GAUACUAUUAAAGAUGGUAAUC
rnacentral:siRNA from 1 species